rnacentral:rRNA from 1 species
UACGUAGGGUGCGAGCGUUAAUCGGAAUUACUGGGCGUAAAGCGUGCGCAGGCGGUUCGUUGUGUCGGCGGUGAAAGCCCCGGGCUUAACCUGGGAAUGGCCGUUGAAACUGGCGAACUGGAGUGUGGCAGAGGGGGGUGGAUUCCGCGUGUAGCAGUGAAAUGCGUAGAGAUGCGGAGGAACACCGAUGGCGAAGGCAGCCCCCUGGGCUAACACUGACGCUCAGGCACGAAAGCGUGGGGAGCAAACAGG